CUCUGUCUCUCACUCUGUGGUCUACUUGUGUAAUGUAUUAGAAUAUUUGGCAUUCUUUAAUAUGAUUGAUACCAAAAAAAAUUAUGAGGGAGAAGAGAGUGAUAAACAGACCCACAUAAAAUAGAAAAAUAAAUUAGGAAGAGAAACCUCGCUCCGUCCUCACCCUCUGUAAUAUUAAUAAAAGCCAAAAUAUAAGGAAUAUAACGGAUCCAGUUCGGCAAGAUAAUCAAAUCCAUUCCAUGGAUACCUCCAAUCAAUAAUAUCUAAGAAGAGAGAAUAAGAAGCGCUACGAAACCCCUUACAUUCUAACUACUUCAUCGGGUGAAGGGGAAGAAAUAAGAUGAUUCGGCACUUUUUCGCGAAAAAAAAGUUCCCGUGAUAAACUUUAGUCAUCAAAUUAAUUAUUUCUAAGACAAUAAGGAUUCUUUGGAUUGAUCUUUUACGAAAAACAUCCAGAAAUAGGCAUCUGAGUCCACUCGUAGUUCCAUUGAAUUCAUAGGUCUUUAUGACAUUAGGAUAUCCAUCAUGUUCAGGGAUCUCAUCUCUUCAGAAAAGGUUCUUGCCCCAUACUCGAUGGAUAUCAUCUCAUUUGAUGGAAGUAUCAGUCAUUGUGCGGGUGUCCUUAAACGUCAAAAUCUGUAACUUCAUCAACAAUCGGUUCAAAUACACAUCCGUCCCUCUAGAUUUUGUAAGUUGUAUCAGUAUGGAAUCAUUGUAUACUUCUACAAGAACUAAGAAUAUGUUUAAUCAGGGUCAAUAGUACUGGAAAGAAAUAUUCAGUGAGGAACAAAGCGACUUAUCAUCCUUCCUCUGUAUUUCUUCCAUUGAAAGUCUACUCUAUUUCAUCUCCUAAUAUUCUUAAAAAAAACUGUUUCAUUCAUUUGAGUCCUUAUGUGUCAUUGAUUUACAUAACAUAACAAACAAAGA
rnacentral:lncRNA from 1 species